rnacentral:lncRNA from 1 species
GCUUGGUCUUGUAGGUCUGAACAGAGUUGCAGCAGUGUAAUGCAUGCAAAUAAAGAAAAUACUGCUGGUAUAUUAAUCCUUUCUUCUAGGGAUUUAUAAAACCAAGGGACAGAAAAAAGCCCAUCACACUUCAAAGGAACAAAAUGAGAAUUCUGGUAAAUAAAUGUACACCAGACCAGCGUUGCAUGCUUUCAUGAGGUGACUGUGUACAGGUCUGUCUUAAAUGGAAAAAAAUAAAAACAAAAGCCUAGGGCAAACCAAAUAGAUUACGGCGGCAUCCAAAGGAAGAACAAAUGGAAGUGAGAUUUUAGGGUCACAACAGAUAAAUGCCCUUGAAAGCACAGCUCUGAUUCCAUGGAAAGAGUGAAACAGGCAGGCUGAGUUUUGUCUGGUGCAGCAGUGAGUUCCUGUUCCAGCCUGAGGAGAUCGGUUCCCAAAACGUCCCUGAUGACCUGUGAAGCUUCUCUGUCAGUGGAAACAACAAGAAGGGGCACUUGGUUGAGGAAGAAAGUAUGGGCUAAUCAAAACAAGAUCAAGAACAAAGACCCAAGAAGUACAAGAGGAAGGAAGAAGAAAUUUAGUCCUUAA